UACUUACAUAUAAACUUACAUCUCAUUUAAGAUCAAGGCAAUAACAUUAUUGCAGUAUUAUUAUCAUACCAACUUACCUCAAAUGCUGAAACGGCUAACUUUUCUGACUUAGCACACAACUUUGUUCUUCCCUGAUCUUAAUCCAAAAUUUCAUGUUUUCUUGAUCUAACAUGUCAAAUAACACUUAUUUAUCACAUUUUAUCAACACAUUAACCAAUUAAAUUCAUAUAUCAAAAUUUGGAAAAUUUACAAUUAUGCCCCCUAACUUUUCAAAAAUUACACUUUUACCCCUAGGCUCGUAAAAUAAUUUUUUAUUCAAUUUCUAUAAGUUUUAAGACAUGCUGAACAUUUUUCUCUUCUAUGGAAACUCCAAAUUUUCACUAAUUCACACACUUAUGACCAAUUUAUAACUUUUACAAUUUAACCCCUUUUUGACAUUUUUACCGAAAUUCAUUGAAUAAAACUCAUAUUUAACACAUCAAACAUUCAUUAUCUACUAUAAUCAUCAAAACAAAACCAUAUCAUGAAUGGGUAAUUUUUUAAACUCUAAUUUCUCUUCAAUCAAUUGGUAGAAAUAGAAAAUUUAAGCUUUGGGGAUCUCAAAAAUACGAAAAUCAUUAAAAACGGGACAAAAAUCGUACCUAUAUAAGCCAUAGAAGCUUGGACGAAUGGAGCUCAUCCAUGGCUGCCAUUUUCGGUUCUUU
rnacentral:lncRNA from 1 species